UACGGGGAGCAGCAGGCGCGAAACCUUUACAAUGCACGACAGUGUGAUAAGGGAACCCUAAGUGCUCAAGUAUUACUUGGGCUUUUGCCAAGAGUAAAUAUCUUGGAGAGUAAGUGGUGGGUAAGACGGGUGCCAGCAGCGCGGUAA
rnacentral:rRNA from 1 species